rnacentral:rRNA from 1 species
UGGGGAAUAUUGGACAAUGGGCGAAAGCCUGAUCCAGCCAUGCCGCGUGUGUGAAGAAGGUCUUCGGAUUGUAAAGCACUUUAAGUUGGGAGGAAGGGCAUUAACCUAAUACGUUAGUGUUUUGACGUUACCGACAGAAUAAGCACCGGCUAACUCUGUGCCAGCAGCCGCGGUAAUACAGAAGGUGCAAGCGUUAAUCGGAAUUACUGGGCGUAAAGCGCGCGUAGGUGGUUUGUUAAGUUGGAUGUGAAAUCCCCGGGCUCAACCUGGGAACUGCAUUCAAAACUGACUGACUAGAGUAUGGUAGAGGGUGGUGGAAUUUCCUGUGUAGCGGUGAAAUGCGUAGAUAUAGGAAGGAACACCAGUGGCGAAGGCGACCACCUGGACUAAUACUGACACUGAGGUGCGAAAGCGUGGGGAGCAAACA